rnacentral:rRNA from 1 species
GACGAGCCACACAAACGUUAUUCGGAAUUACUGGGCUUAAAGGGUGCGUAGGCUGCGCGGAAAGUUGGGUGUGAAAUCCCUCGGCUCAACCGAGGAACUGCGCCCAAAACUACCGUGCUCGAGGAAGAUAGAGGUAAGCGGAACUUACGGUGGAGCGGUGAAAUGCGUUGAUAUCGUAAGGAACACCUGUGGCGAAAGCGGCUUACUGGGUCUUUUCUGACGCUGAUGCACGAAAGCUAGGGGAGCAAACGGG